CUCUUUAGCUUGGAGAGGAGGACACUAAGUGGUCACCUCAUUAAUGUUUACAAAUAUAUAAAGGGUGAGUGUCACAAGGAUGGAGCCAGGCUCUUUUUGGUGACAACCAAUGAUAAGACAAGGGGUAAUGGAUGCAAACUGGAACACAAGAGGUUCCACUUAAAUUUGAGAAGAAACUUCUUCUCAGUGAGGGUGACAGAACACUGGAACAGGCUGCCCAGGGGGGUUGUGGAGUCUCCUACUCUGGACACAUUCCUGUGUAGCCUUGUCUAGGUGUUCCUGCUCCAGCAGGGGGAUUGGACUACAUGAUCUUUGAGGUCCCUUCCAAUCCCUAACAUUCUAUGAUUCUGUGAUGCAGCUUCACAGGACAGUCUCAAGGCUGAAAAGGUUAAAUACUUCUUAGCAGAAGAAUUAAAACUUUAUUACUUGUUGUGUGACUUACCUCCAUCACCACAGUGUGGGAACAUCUCAGUGUAUUUAUCCCCAAUGUCUUUGUGAGGUUGAGAAAUACUAUUUUAUAACCAGAAUGGAGUCAUAGGAAGAGAUUUGCCUUAUGUCCCACUGAAGUCCCAGGUUGGCCUUGUAAACUUCUGAUCAUCUUAAGAGAUUUUCAGUUGCUGAGAAGAAAAUCUUUUGAAGGAGAACCUGCAAGUUUGAGGGAUAAUGAAUAAGGGAAGAGUUCAGUUCAUGAUACUUCUACUAAAGAUCUGUGUAGUAAAAGUUAGCCUUAUUGACAUGACAAAAACAAUAAACUGCUUCCAAAAAAUACUUUGUCUCUUGAAAAGAACCAAGAAACAGUGCUUUCCUUCUGUUUCUUCCAGUCUUCAAAUGCUUCACGUAACUACAAAAGACACAAGAGUUUCAGAUAGGUUUGAUUUUUCAAGUAGAUAGUGUCCUUUUAAUGCCAAAGAAUCAUACAUUUCAUUAGGCUCUGCAGUAUGAACAAGGAGUAAGACAUAGAAACGUUUGCUAAUAAAGAGGUGACCCUAACAAGCCCCAGCAUCUGAAGGGAAAGAUAAGAGCCUGAAGGAUUAUCAUUACCUGGACACAGACUACAGCUAAUAUAAUAAUUUGCAAAAGCAGAGAAACUAAUUUAAUUUUUAUGUUUAAUGACUUAUAAUUAUUUCCCUCUACAACCCCUCCUUUGCAAACUUUGUGUUUGCAUUGGAGCAUGAGACCUCUUGUGUUUCCAGAUCACCUUUUGUCCUUGAGGUGGCUUAUCAAAGUGAACAACUGGUGCUUGAUAACACCUUCAAAUGUAAUAUUUAACGUAUCAGUUUCCCAGCUCCCUCCCUUGUUAUAUAAGAACAAUUAUUUGCACUUGAAAUUCUGAACAUGCUGUUUUUACCAGGGCAUGUAACUUGGGAAUUCCAAGGAAUCUGCUGGAAUAGAAUUUCCAAGCACUAAGCAAAUAUUUGUACACAGGGUGACGCAACAAAAUGGAUCAGCUAGACGAGCGCUUGCAAGGAUUAAUACACAGAAAUCAAAGCAAGUGGUUAUAAGCUGUUUGGGGCAGAGACAGUUCUCCACAGUGCCUGGCUGUAGACUGAGCAGCUAACCCGUUGUGCUUUUCCAGCGUAUGAGAAGAGGUCCUGGGACGUGGCGUGAGGAAAUGGCACAGGCAGAGCAGAGUGGCACAGCUGGUUCCAAGCCUUCUUCACCAUGGUCCAGGCACAGCAUGGCCCAGCACCACUGCCUUCUUCCGGUGGCAUCUGAGGCACAAGUGACGGAGUGGGGUUAUGGGAGAAGUGUCCGGGUGGGAACAGGGUAGGGAGAAGACGGUGAGGAAAAUGCUUGGAAUUAGGAAGGCAGCUCCUUCCUGCUCGCAAUUCUGCUGUAGCCGUUGCCUCCUGGCAGUAUCCCUCCCAGCGCUGCCCACAGCAUUUCCAUCUCCCCUGCUGCCAUAUGCCUUAUGUGUCAGUGCUGCAGAAGUGGAAAUAAAUAAUUCACAACUUGUUGGGAGAGUGUGCAAGGCCCAGAAUGUGCCUUUGUGAUACAGAAGAAGAGACAUUAAAGAGCUGCCAAUCUAAUUAUGAAAUGUUUAAUCCUUUCUCAGCCUCUGUUUCAUAGCUUUGUGCAUAAAGCUUAUUAUUAUUUAUAACAGAAAUUGCCAAAUUGUGGGGGACUACGGUGGGCCUGUGGGUUCCCUGAUGGAGGGUAUGGGAACAGAGAUUGACCUUGAAGAUAUUAAGGUGUACCCAUGAAAAAGAAGAGAGUAAAAUAGUAACAUUGACAAUAGCAAAAUUAGCCAAUUAUAUGUUACUAUUGCAGCCUAUAACCAGUAUCAAAAAGACACAUGAGCUGGUAAAGACUAUAUAAAAAGGCAUUUGUGGCAAUAAAUGGAGACUGCUGUUUGUACAUAAGAAGAACUUUGUCUAUGUCGUUUGUCCGUCUCAGUCGCGACACCAAAUGCUCGCUAAGUAUCAUCCAGUGCAUAGAAAGGAAGCAUCACUCUACAGAAGAAUUUGUUAUUUUUGAAGUUCCAGUCCUACAGGUUUUCAAAUGUCACUGCACAUGACUGGAGACUUAUAGACUCUAACUAAUAACUUUACAGAUGAACAGUCCCAGGAAACUCAAUGCAUUUAAUUCAUGUGCAUAAGUAUUUACAGAAACAAGAUCCAAUUGUUGUGGAAAUCCAUGUAUUUUGUAUAUUUGUAAUUUAUUCUGUCUGAGCCAUUGUCUCCUGUCUGUUGUGAUGACACUUUCAUUUAUUUUUGGGUGGAAACAAGCUGGUUUAGGUUUUGCUUCCAAAUGCUUCAAAAUAUUUUGUUUCCAAAUGCUUCUCUGUAAUUAUUUGUCUUUUUAGGUGUCAUCUUGACAUCUGUACUCUGUAAAAUAUAACCUUCUGAGCCUGGAAUGCUAUUCUUGUAGCUGUAAGAUUUUAUAAUAGCAUUAUAUGUAUCUCUGUCCUUUAUAUAUCAUGCUCUUAUUAAAUAAAGCUUUUGCAAGUUCAUUAAUAUCAUAAGGAGAGUCUCAAGUCUCAGCUUAAAGUCUCAAAUGCAUGUUGCUCAUAUUUGGGGAGCUUUACACUGUGUUCUGAGAAUCUAUAGUAACAUCUCAUUUACAAUAGCAAGAUACAAUAAAAUAACCUAG